rnacentral:lncRNA from 1 species
GAUUUCCUCCGGGCUACAGGCGACAGAGCUGAGCCAAGCGUUUACUGGGCAGCUGUUACGCUCAGAUUCCAAAUGAAAAUGUUUGAGAGCGCUGACUCUACAGCCACAAGAUCUGGCCAGGAUCUCUGGGCUGAAAUUUGUUCCUGUCUGCCAAAUCCUGAACAAGAAGAUGGUGCCAACAAUGCAUUCUCAGACUCCUUUGUGGAUUCUUGCCCUGAAGGUGAAGGCCAGAGGGAGGUGGCUGACUUUGCUGUCCAGCCAGCUGUAAAGCCUUGGGCUCCCUUGCAGGAUUCAGAAGUGUAUUUAGCAUCUCUAGCCAUUUUAUUUUAAAAAUAUUUCCUGA